AGGACGAACGCUGGCGGCGUGCUUAACACAUGCAGGUCGAGCGGAAAGGCCCUUCGGGGUACUCGAGCGGCGAACGGGUGAGUAACACGUGAGUAACCUGCCCCUAGCUCUGGGAUAGCUCCGGGAAACCGGGAUUAAUACCAGAUACGACCACUUUAGACAUCUGUCGUGGUGGAAAGGAUUCCGGCUAGGGAUGGGCUCGCGGCCUAUCAGCUUGUUGGUGGGGUAACGGCCUACCAAGGCGACGACGGGUAGCCGGCCUGAGAGGGCGACCGGCCACACUGGGACUGAGACACGGCCCAGACUCCUACGGGAGGCAGCAGUGGGGAAUAUUGCGCAAUGGGCGAAAGCCUGACGCAGCGACGCCGCGUGGGGGAUGAAGGCCUUCGGGUUGUAAACCCCUUUCAGCAGGGACGAAGCGAAAGUGACGGUACCUGCAGAAGAAGCGCCGGCUAACUACGUGCCAGCAGCCGC
rnacentral:rRNA from 1 species